rnacentral:rRNA from 1 species
AACUUUCAACAACGGAUCUCUUGGCUCUCGCAUCGAUGAAGAACGCAGCGAAAUGCGAUAAGUAAUGUGAAUUGCGGAAUUCAGUGAAUCAUCGAAUCUUUGAACGCACCUUGCGCUCCUUGGUAUUCCGAGGAGCAUGCCUGUUUGAGUGUCAU